GUGCGAUCUUCAGCAUAAACCGCCUUGAAACAAACUCUGAUUUUUCAUUAAAAGCCAUCAUAUAUACUACAGAAAACCUAAAGUUGGUAUUCGGUUGAGCAGGCCCUAACGGCUGUACAACACCGGCCAGCAACUAAUUUUAUUGAAUUUAGACAGAGAACUACAAAUUGUUGGAGACAGAAGUCAGCCUAACAUAACUAUGUGAUAUCAGUUUCUUCGGAGCUAAACAAUUCCUUUUCAUCGAUGUGAAUUCUCAUCGAUUCUGUAUACAACAAAAAGGUUGAUAUAUUUUUCAGCUGUUCUGCAAUGUUCAAGUAUACAUCCAUGAGACAUCUAUUUAACAGCAGAAACUCAUCUGAUGCUGUGGAGAAUACCAUUUGAUGUCUCUGUUACCAAACACCCAAGCUCCUAAUGCUCAAUUGGUUUCCAACUUCACCGCAUUGAGGUUGCUUUCCACCAAAAAUUGGUGGCUUUCCUCUCGCCGAAUGUGCUAUCUUAUGUUCUGUUUGCAAAUGGUUCAGCCUAUUUUCUUUUGGGCCCUUGAUAUCAAUGAAACAAUUAUGAAUAUUGAGCAAAUGAAAAUUGAAAUCAACGAUAUAUCUUCUGUCAACUAAGAUUAAGAAAUUAGGAGCAAGGAGAAGUGGAGAACCUUCAUGGAUAUACAACUUGGUCGAGGCAAUUGCAGUCGAGAUCCAUUAUUUGGCUGGAGCUCAGAUGUCAGAGAUAGCUUACUAAAAAGCUCUAUAGGUGGAUUAUGCUGAAUCCUCUUCUCCGUAUGGAAAUUAAAUUCCAUUGGCACUGUGGUUUCUCGCUUGCUAUUUCGAAAAACACCAAUAUCUCCUUUGCUUGCAAAUAUCUUCUUAUUCAGAGGACGAGCUUUAAAUAUAUGUGCUGUAUUACAUUCGUCCUGCUUUUGAGAAUCCAUGGUGCUUGGUCUUCUGGAUUCUCUCGUUCCAUUUUCUGCAACUGAAGUUGUACCAGGUUUGUCCAACCCCUUUUCAGGAUCACUGUGCUGAAGCAAGGAAGAUGAAACUGUAGAUGUAUGCUGCAUUGCCCUCUCUAAUGUCUUCAGGUGAAAUUCUUGAAACUCUGGCAACUUAGGAGUGCUCUUCUUCGGGAGAGGUAAUGAAGGAGCCUCAAGAAUUUUUCUGUUCAAUGGACGUGCUCUGAAUCUUCGUACAGCCAUCUUCACAUUUUCGACUUCUGUGCUAUUUUUAGGCCUAAUCCUCUGUGCCCUAUGUGCUGUUUCAAGGUCAGGCUCUCUUGGAAUAGUAAGCCUGAGCUUUGAAUGAGCAGAGCUUUUAUCGACAGUUCCAUCCUUUUUAGGUGCCUUGUGGAUGAAAUAAGUUUGCUGCUUUGCAUCACCAACCUUAUGGGAGUGACCUCCCUCUAGCUUCUGCCUCUUUGCAGCUUGACUUUCCACCGCAGAAGAAUUAUGUAUGCUUUUCUCCUUUUGAACCAGUAACAUCUGAAAUCUGGAACCAUCAAUUUGAGGGGGCUGAUUUUGCUUUGCCAACAUGCUUGCCGUAGGUUUCAUCAAAGUUGAAAUCCUAGGAAGAUUUGGCUUUGCAUUAGACUUAACCUUUGCUCUUGAUUUAUAAGAAGAUGUAUGAUUAUAAUAAGCCAAUCCUGUCCCCAUUUCCAGUGGUCUAUGUGAAAGUUUUUGAAGAUUGCCACUUUGCAAGUUGGCGAAGAUCCCCCUAUACAUUCCUUCCCGUUCUUUGUUGUCGACCUCUAUUGCGGGAACUUCUGGGCCCAGACCAUCACUGCAUUCAUCACUGAGCAAAGUGGUCGUAUCGUCCACAUCUUUAGAUUUCGGAGAGGUACCAACGUCCUCCAGCAAACUGUCCUCUCUCAACACCAACUUUGCCACAAAAGGGGACGGAGGAUAGCUCUUCGCCGCCUCGAACCACCGUUCAGCCUCACGCGCCUCCGCGGGAGACUCCUCACGAGUGAAAUCAAAGAACAUUGCAGCAUCAAACUCGUAAUCAAGAUCAAUUUCUCGUGCCUCGAACACCAACUCCCCAUCCCCAUUCACAUCCACAUCCACAUCCACGUCCACAUCCAUUUCCAUUUCCAUUUCCAUAUCCAUCUCCAAAACCUCUCCUUCAAUAGGUUCACACGAUGCACCAAAACUCAACACCAUAGAACCAUGUAUCUAUAUCUAUUAUGUAUAUGUAUCUUAUCUGAUUUGACUGGCUAAAAACCCUAGUCUGGAAAUGCGAGCUGCAAGUUUUCUAGCAGCAGAGAAGAGAAACCGCACUGUAGCAUCCAAGGAAAUAAAUAGUGCGAUUUUUAUUAAUUUACUUUCCAAAAUUAAAAAUAAAACUUGUACAACAUAAUAAAG
rnacentral:misc_RNA from 1 species